rnacentral:tRNA from 1 species
GCUCUGAUAGUUUAAGCAAAACACUGGUCUUGUAAACCGGAAAGUGCAGACUAAUCCCUGCUCAGGGCUC